UAUUGCAAAAAAAACAAUUAAUCUUUUUCUUUUGACCAUACAUUUUUAAUAUAUUUUUGAAAACAUUUGUCAAUGCUUGAAAACUGGCAUAAAUUUCACAUAUUAAUCAAAGAGUAUUUACACCAUUUGUCCCAAAACAAAUGAGUAUAAAAGGAAGAGUUCAUUUCACACAACACAACUGCCACCCUUUCAAAUUCAUUUGCCAGUCAAAUCGAAGAAAAAAAAUGACCCACUCACUAUCAGCUACUAUGCUCCUUGCACUUCUUAUAUUUACUACAAUAAUAUGGAAGGCAAGAACAUGUGAGUUAACGAGGAUUGGAGGUGGUUGUCCUGAUCUUUCAAAAUGCAGGGAAACAUGUCUACCAUGUUAUAAGGGCAUAGGUCAAGUCAAAUACUAUUGUCGUUCUGGAGGUUUUCCAAUAUUACUACCUACAUGUGUUUGUGUAAUGACCAAAGGUGCUCCCUGUCAAGUACCUGGCUGCCCUAAACCUCCUCCCGCUGCGUUACCUGCCAACUUCAAUCAAUCUCAAAUGAAUAUUACAGCUUAAACAAUGCAUGUAUUUCUUCUUAUAUAGUAUGAAUGUUUUCAAUAAAUUAUAUAAUAAUGUAUUGCUCUUAA